UUAUCAACUGGUUAGAUGAAACUGCCAAAACUGCAAAACCUUUAUGCGUCGGUUCGAUCCCGACCCGCGCCUCCA
rnacentral:tRNA from 1 species